AGGACUGUAUUUUAUUAUAAAAUAUUCUGUUUGCAUCGGAGAGAAUUGAGUUCUA
rnacentral:tRNA from 1 species